AGAACGAACGCUGGCGGCAGGCUUAACACAUGCAAGUUGAACGGUUCUAGCAAUAGAACAGUAGCGCACGGGUGCGUAACGCGUGGGAACAUGCCCUUGGGUACGGAACAACGUCGGGAAACUGACGCUAAUACCGUAUAAUAUCUCCGGAUCAAAGAUUUAUCGCCCAAGGAUUGGCCCGCGUAAGAUUAGCUAGUUGGUGAGGUAAUGGCUCACCAAGGCUACGAUCUUUAGCUGGUCUGAGAGGAUGAUCAGCCACACUGGGACUGAGACACGGCCCAGACUCCUACGGGAGGCAGCAGUGAGGAAUAUUGGACAAUGGGGGAAACCCUGAUCCAGCCAUGCCGCGUGAGUGAUGAAGGCCUUCGGGUUGUAAACUCUUUUAGAUGUGACGAUGAUGACGGUAACAUCAGAAAAGCUCCGGCUAACUUCGUGCCAGCAGCCGC
rnacentral:rRNA from 1 species